AGAUGUAUGUAGGGAGAUGCUGAGUCCCAGCCUGCAGCACUGAUGGAGCAGCUGGGGAAAGGAGCCAGUCAGCCCUGGGAGCACAGGUGGAGGCAAUUCAGCUGUGAUAGGAAGGGAUGGAGCCUGGCUGCACCUCUCUUAGGCCUCAUUGAAGGGCUGGCUGCCAUUGGGGAAGGGUCUGUGGUUGGAGAUCACUCUAAUGUGAAAUUUUCCCUGUGAGCUUCAGAGGCAGAGACUGUUUGAUAUGGGAGCUGAGGCUGAAGAUUCUCCAAUGGAAUGACUCCAUUUCACUUUAAGAAGUGGCUUAUCUCCUGAGAAGAACAGGAAUACAGAUGUAACGUCUCACUGCUGGCUUACUACUGAAACAACUUGCUUAUUGCCUGAAGUUCACCUCCUUACAGAACAGACAGUUUAAAACACAGUGUCACAUACACCUUUGUCUGGAGUUCUGUUCCUUGAAGAGAUGCUAUUUUUGCAUUCCUUGGAUGAAGACUUUCAGUGUAAGUGCCUGUCUUGGUCCUACAGUUCCUGUUUGGUUCUUUCUCUAUCAAUUUUCCAUAACCCUGGGAAAGCCACUUAAUAGCUCUGCCUUGUUCAAGCCCAGACUGAAUGCCGACAACUGGAAACUGCACACUGACUUUGCCCCUCUCAUUGACUUGGAGAGAAGCCUCCGUAAGGAGGAAAAGGAACAAUUAAUUAGCAUCACUUCUUCUGGCAUCAUCCAUGCGAUCCAAAAAAUUGUAUGUAAGGUGCAGUGGGAUUGAAUGAUCAAGGUUGAUUCAAUAUAGGAAGUGCAUUUCUUUCGAAGAGGGGCUGGGUCAGCCUUAGAGAGGUUUGUGGUUAUUCCACUUUGUUUACACAACUGAUGUGGGUUUUGUUGUUGUCGUGUUGAGGUGUUGUUGGUCUCCUCUGUUCAAUGAAAAUGUGGAAGGAAUCAACUUACCUUUUUCAUUUACUAAAUAACAGAGAAGGGGAAUCGAGUGUUCUGUGCUUUACCCUUUUGAAGGCGUAACUGACAUGAAAGCUAGAAUGCAUCACAGAAGACAUUUUCUGCUGUUUGCAAAGUCGUCAGUUCCAGUGCCCCCGGUCAGCUCUGAGUUGCCCAGUACCCCUGGUCAACCCAUCUUCCCUGCAAUGAGAUCAGUGGAGAUCUCUGGGAUCUUUCCCAUCCGCAGCCUGUUACUGCAUUACACAGAAAUCUCCCAUUUAGCCUCUAAUCCUGGCAAGCAUUUCUUGGACCAUAUCACUAUCCUUUCAUGUUGGCCAAGUUUAAAGGGGAAGAAGGAGGAGGAGAAAGAUUAGCCAGCUGCUUUUAAAACCCAUCAGUGCACACUGUGUUUACUGAGAUGGGUAAUAAAGACAAGCUUUGGUUCUAUUGUUUUCAUUUUGGAUAAAGCCUGUGUUGUGUUUGGGGAACAGAGAUCUUGCACUUGUGUCCUAUGAUCAGCGUGCUGCUCAAGGACUGUAAGGAAUAAUCUUGUGCUCCAAAGGAAGUUGGCAAUAAAGUUUACUCUAUAAAAAGAAGCAGGCAGUCAGGAUACAGUUUCCUAUUCUGAGUCGAAGCAGUCAGAAAUUCCGACCUCGAGGGUCAGGAAAGAUUCCAGGACUUCCUGAAUCACGACUGGGAUGUGCAGCCGCCCUCCUGCUCCCUUCCUUUCACCCUUUUGGCUCGAGUCCCACUGGAAUCACUAUCCUCAAUUAUUUUAUUCAAUCCACCAUAUGCUGGGUGCUUAUUGAGAACACCUACCAUGCUUUCCCCCUGCUGUAGUUUCUCCUCCUGUGGUAACCGAGCACUGCUGUUUCUGCUCUGUGUGCUGUGCACAU